rnacentral:lncRNA from 1 species
UGUUGAAGGGAUUCCUGACGAGAUUUCCCGACUUCUUGAGCAAGAAAAGAAGAUCACUCAGCUGCAUCUCGAGAAUCAGCAGAACAGCCAACCGGGGCAUUAAAAAAAAAAGAAAAAAAAGAAAAGAAAAAAAAAGAAAAAGAAAGAGGAGGGUGCAAAAUCAAAAGAAAUCAAAAGAAAGCAAAAUCAAAAGCAAAAUCAAAAGAAAAAACAAAGGAAAAAUAGCACCCUCAAAGUCCCAAGUUGGCUGAUGCUGAAUUAGAUCAACUGCCAUGUGUCAUGGUCAAGUUAUAUCAGCAGAGAGUGAAGAAAGCACGCGUUAAGAAGUUCAAACCUCGUGUGUUCCAAGGGACCUUGUGCUCAAGAAGGUCUUGUCUUUCGUGCUCGAUUCGAGGGGCAAGUG